rnacentral:rRNA from 1 species
UACGUAGGGGCCAAGCGUUGUCCGGAUUUAUUGGGCGUAAAGAGCUCGUAGGCGGUUCGGCAAGUCGAAUGUGAAAUCUCCACGCUCAACGUGGAGGGGUCAUUCGAUACUGCCGUGACUCGAGUCCGGUAGGGGAGUGUGGAAUUCCCGGUGUAGCGGUGAAAUGCGCAGAGAUCGGGAGGAACACCCGUAGCGAAGGCGGCACUCUGGGCCGGUACUGACGCUGAGGAGCGAAAGCGUGGGGAGCAAACAGG